GGUAGGCCACUUCGGUGGUACACGAGCGGCGGACGGCUGAGUAACGCGUAGGAACGUACCCCAAACUGAGGGAUAAGCACCAGAAAUGGUGUCUAAUACCGCAUGUGCUCUAAGGAGUAAAGCUUCGGCGGUUUGGGAACGGCCUGCGUAUGAUUAGCUUGUUGGUGAGGUAAUGGCUCACCAAGGCGACGAUCAUUAGCUGGUCUGAGAGGAUGAUCAGCCAGACUGGGACUGAGACACGGCCCAGACUCCUACGGGAGGCAGCAGUAGGGAAUUUUCCACAAUGGACGAAAGUCUGAUGGAGCAACGCCGCGUGCAGGAUGAAGGCCUUCGGGUUGUAAACUGCUUUUUUCUGUGAUGAUUAUGACAGUAGCAGACGAAUAAGGAUCGGCUAACUCCGUGCCAGCAGCCGCGGUCAUACGGAGGAUCCAAGCGUUAUCCGGAAUUACUGGGCGUAAAGAGUUGCGUAGGCGGCAUUGUAAGUAGGUAGUGAAAUCCUGGGGCUCAACCCCUUCAACAUUAUCUAAACUGCAAAGCUAGAAUAUAGAAGAGGUAGCUGGAAUUCCUAGUGUAGGAGUGAAAUCCGUAGAUAUUAGGAGGAACACCAAUGGCGUAGGCAGGCUACUGGUCUAUUAUUGACGCUAAGGCACGAAAGCGUGGGGAGCGAACGGGAUUAGAUACCCCGGCAGUCCACGCCGUAAACUAUGGAUGCUAGCUGUUAGGAGUAUCGACCCUUCUAGUAGCGAAGCUAACGCGUUAAGCAUCCCGCCUGUGGAGUACGAGCGCAAGCUUAAAACAUAAAGGAAUUGACGGGGACCCGCACAAGCGGUGGAGCGUGUUGUUUAAUUCGAUGGUAAG
rnacentral:rRNA from 1 species